UUAAGACUGUGAGCCCCACGUGGGACAACCUGAUUCCCCUGUGUCUACCCCAGCGCUUAGAACAGUGCUCGGCACAUAGUAAGCGCUUAACAAAUACCAACAUUAUUAUUAUUAUUAUUAUCUCUUCCUCCACCGAUCUUUGACUUCUGCUCACCCCACAGCCUGUAACUCCCUCCUUUGUAUUCAACAGACCACAGCCCUCUCAUCUUCAAGCCCCUAUUUCAAGGAUGUGAAAUCCCAUCUCUGGGAGACUUUCAAUUAAUUUCAUUUCCCCACCUUAUAUCCCGUAAAUUCCACUUCCACAAGUUUGCAUAACUUAAGCACAGCCCAGCUAUACCUCCAUAGUGCUUAUGGACAUGUCUCACAUUCUCCAUUACAUAAACAAUAACUCAUAUACCCCCUCCCCUAAUUCCUCCUAUCUGCAAUUUAUUUUAGUGCAUCACCCCCAUAAAACCCCCACUCCUUGAGGGCUAGGAUCAGGAGUAUGAAUUGUGUUGUAUUCUCCCAGGUGUGUAGUGUGGCACACUGCCUUCAGUUAGACCUCAAAUUCUACCUAUAAUUCUCUCAGCAUUGAAAUGAUUCUUGUUGCAGCCAAUUCAUCAGGGCCGGCCAGGUGCGGAGAAUGACUAAGAGCAGGCUACAGCACCAGAACCAGGACUCCGGGGAAAGAAAGAAGUCCAGGGAAGACACCUCCCUCCUCUGGAUCUCUGGAUCUUUCUCCUCUAUAAGGCUGCCUGGGCCCAUCAGCCAAGAUGACACAGAAGAAGUAGCAUCUACCUCCCCGUGGACAGUGGGGAUUUCAUCAUAUGAAUGGAGCCCUUUAUAUCUGAUGCCCAUAAAUCAUAAAGGUUAAAAUGGGGGGGUUAAAUAUGACAAUUUAAUUUAGGCAUUUUGUACUCCUAAAAGUUUGGAAGUAAUAGACUGUAGCCCUUAAACCCUUGGGGCCUUCCACAUGCGUGUUGCUGAGGGCAGGGAAUGGGUCUGUUAGUUAUUACCAAAUUGAAUGAGUAUCUCAUUUUCAGUAGUUUACCAGAAGUCAUAAGUGCCAUUGUUUAGGGUGGGAAGGUAAGGUCAGGAUCCACUCUUUAGCGAAGAAACAAUUUUCCUGUCACUUUGCAUCACAUCAUUUCUCUCUGCAAGCUGGACAUCCAGGCUCUGAUCCAAUACCUCACACCCGUAAUUUACAGUUCCUCUUCAACAACUGCGGCUGCCCAAGGAAUCAGUGAGACCAAGGAUAUUCUUUGUGGGCAGCCCCAAUGGUAAUCCUUGCCAGCAGAAGCCCAGGACCUUUUAGAAUGUUUUUUUCCUCUGGACCCAUUAUUGGUCACUGUGGGUGAGGAGCCUCAUCCACCUCCCCUCCUGGAAGUAGCAUGACGUAGUGAAUAGACCGUGGGUCUGGGAGUCAGAAGGAACUGGGUUCUAAUUCCAGCUCUCAACCUACCUGCUGUGUGACCUUGGACAAGUCACUUAACUUCUCUGGGCCUCAGUUACCUCACCUGUAAAAUAGGGAUUAAGAAUGUGAGUCCCAUGUGGGACAAGAACUGUGUCUAACCUGAUUAACUUGUAUUUACCCCAGUGCUUAGAACAGUGCUUGGCACAAAGUAAGCCCUUAACAGGUACCAUAAUAAUAUGUAAUUAUUAUUAUUGUUAUGAUUUCCUGAGCUGAGGUUUAGGGGAGACACUCUGCUGGCCCUUCUUUCUCCGAUAACCAUACUCCCCAGUGUGUUGAUGUAACCUAGUGGAAAAAACGUGAGCCAGAGGCGUAAAUUCUUGUUCCGGGUCUGCCACUGAUCAGCUGCAUUACCUAAGGCAAGACAUUUGAGCACUCUCUGCUUCAGUUUCCUCAUCUGUAAAAUGGAGAUUAUGAUUUCUGCCUCAGAAAGAUAUUGGGAGACUAAAAUGAGAUGAGUGGAAGGAGCUUUGUAAAAAAAUUAAAGCACCCUACAAAUUCAAGGCUCAAGAAACAUGGUCAUUCGUUCAAGUCAUAUUUAUUGAGCGCUUACUGUGUGCAAAGCACUGUACUAAGCGCUUGGGAGAGUAGGCUAUAAAAAUAAACAGGCACAUUCCCUGCCCACAACAAGCUGUCAUACUGAACUCUCCCAAACACUUAGUACAGUGCUCGGUACACAGUAAGUGCUCAAUACAUACGAUUGAUUGAUUGAUCAAGAUGCUUGGUGGCAUCCUUGUGCUGCUGCUUUACGUGAUUUUUUUUUAAACCAAAGAAUUUAUCCUCUUAACUUCCACCUCAUCACUUGUGCACACACAAGUCAUCCGUAGCACUUCAGGACAUAUCUAUUUGAAGUACAUUGCUAUUUAAAUAUUUGUUUUUCUGCAUGCCUAUCUUUCCAGGAACUUUUUCCUCCUCCCUGUAAAGUAUUUUGUGUCUGCUUCCCUAGCUAGAUUGUGAACUCCUGGAGGAGUUCUACCUCUAUUUUAUUUUUUUUAGGCUAAGCUUAGUGCUCUGCACCCAAGAGAUGCUCGGAAAAUAUUACUGAUCGAUUGACUGGAGUGUUUUGCACAAAUCGUGGCUAUCCCCCAGGGAAUUGUUGUUCCAGAAGGGUCUUGUCCAACCCAAAUUGCUUCUAUCCACCUCGGGGCUUAGAAAAGUGCCCGGCACAUAGUAAAUGCUUAACAAAUUCAUAAAAAGUCGAUCAAUCAGUGGCAUUUAUUGAGCACCUAUUGUGCGCAGAUAAGAUGGAGAGAGCAGCGAUUUACCAGAUGUGAAGGGAGAGGGAGUACCAGGCAAGAGGGAAGGCAUAAGCAAGAAGAGGUCUGUGGUCUGAGUCCAGUUGCUGGUCCUCAAAUCCCCCGCCCAGCCCUAAAAGCAGAGACUGGGGUGAUGGCAAGAGGUAGAAAUUUCCAAACCUCACUUACUCCUUGCCUCAAGUCUCUCUCCUCAGUCCAUACUUCACUCUGUUACUUUUUUAAACACUGUUCUGCACACAACUCCCUACUCCUCAAAUAACAUCAAUGGUUGGCCAUUUGUCUCCACAAGCGGAGGUUUCUAACCAGUUUUAAGGCAUUCAGUCAGCUCUCUCCUUCCAUUUUAUCCUCUCUUUUCUCAAUCAAUCAAUGAGCACUUACUUUGUGCACAGCACUGUACUAAGGCUUGGAGAAAUACAGUAUAAAAGGAUUGGUAGAUGUGAUACCACUACAGUGCAACUUGCCCGCUUCAUUUGUCUCAAGGCAACUCAUAUCAUACUCUCCCAAAUGUGCACUACAGUGCUCUGUUCCCAAAACUCAGUAAAAACCACUGAUUAAUUGAACUUAUUCACUGUGCCUCAUUCUUGUCUCUAACACCACAGACCUCUUCUUGUUUAUGCC
rnacentral:lncRNA from 1 species